AUUCUUGGGAUUAUUCUCCUUUAUUCCUCAAACCAAACGGACCCCUAGGUUGAUUUCUUCCCCUUUCAGUCACACAAACAGUGUUCUUGGGCUAAAAGAAUUCGAACUUGAAGAAACUCAAAUUUCUGCAACCCAAAUGGAAUAUGAUGAAGAUGAAGGCUCGCAUCAACACCCAAAACAGAACAAACCCCCAAACAAGUCUCAUUUUUCAUCAACUUCAAUUCAAGAAUCAAUCUUGAUAAUCCCUACCCUUCCAGAAGAACUCAUCAUUGAAAUACUUUUAAGGCUACCAGUGAAAUCACUCUUGAAAUUCAGGUCUGUUUCAAAAUCUUGGCUUGCUUUGAUCUCUACCCCUGAAUUUAUCAAUACCCAUCUCAGUAUAUCUGCUAAUAGCCAGAGACUUGUGUUGACACAUCACAAGUUUGUAUUGACUCCUUCUGUUCAUAAAUACCAGUACAAUAUUGAGAGUUGUUCUCUUAGCUCUUUACUUAAUAAUGACUCUGUUAUUGAAUCAUUUGACUUGGAUUAUCCCAUGAAUAACCCCCUCAAAAAUGUUUGGGUUGUGGGUUCUGUCAAUGGAUUGAUUUGUCUUGCCAUUGGGUUCACUGACUUGUUUCUAUGGAAUCCAUCUACUAGAAAGUUCAAGAAAUUGCCUGAUUCUAGACCUACUGGUAGACCUGCAUGUUUCAAAUAUGGUUUUGGAUAUGAUGAGUAUCAUGAUGAUUAUAAGGUAAUAGGUAUGUUUUGUUACAUACAUGGCCGUUCGCGUCACGUUGAGGUAAAACUAUAUAGUCUAAAGAGUGAUAAUUGGAGAACUCAUGAUGAGGAUUUUUCGGGCGAGAUUCAAUUCGCUAGGACAGGAAAGUUUGUAAAUGGAAGAAUAUAUUGGGCUAAUAAUGAUUGUCGUGAUUUGCAUAAGGAUUGGAAAAUCAUUUCUAUCGAUUUGGCUGAUGAGAAAUGGGGAAAGGUGGAGCAGCCAUGCUAUGAUGAAGGAUACAAUUUUUUGUUGCUGGGAGCAUUGGGAAGUGAUCUUUCUGUAUUUUGUAAUUAUCCUAGAACUCACACAGAUGUGUGGGUUAUGAAGCAGUAUGGGGUUAAAGAGUCUUGGACAAAAAUGUACACCAUUAGAUAUCCUAGUGAUCUUGAGAAUUUAUUUUCUUCUGGUAUUUCUCCAACACUUUUCAUGUCAAACAAAGGUGAAAUAUUGCUUAUGCGUAGAUCAACUUUCAUGAGAUACAAUCCAAAGGAUGAAUCGAUCAGAUAUACAAAGGUUGCUAAGUUUCGUUUCUGUAUUGAGGCAGACAUCUACAUUGAAAGCCUAGUUUGUCCCUUUUUACAAGACGAACCACGCACACAACAAGACUAAAGGUUCCAGAAGCUCAGAUGAAUGACAAUGGUGUAGCUAAUGACUUGUAAGAGUUCCACCCAGAGGCGGAGCCAGGAUUUGAAGCUUGUGGGUUCGGAGUUCUAAUUCUUUAAAGAAAUGAAAGCUGAUGUUGCGCACAACUCCACCUCCUACUGAUAUCGCGGAUCAAAAUGAUGAAGCAUUAUUAUCUGGUUCUCAACACUCCAAUGUACUCAUUCUAUUUCGUUGUUCAUAGAGCAAGACUUGGCUAUGUUCACCAAUUACCUAUUUUGUAAGUAGUAGUGUCUGGUUGAGGUUCGAGGUCAAGAGUUUGCCAUGGCAAAAGGUUGAACAAGCUUCUCCUUCCCUUGAAUGUCUGUUGUAUGUAGUAUCUGGCUGAGGCUUGAGGACUGAGAAGUAUCCGUUCACAUAUCUUCUUCUUGCUU